rnacentral:rRNA from 1 species
GAUCAUGGCUCAGGAUGAACGCUGGCGGCGCGCCUAACACAUGCAAGUCGAACGGCACCCCUCUCCGGAGGGAAGCGAGUGGCGAACGGCUGGGUAACACGUGGAGAACCUGCCCCCUCCCCCGGGAUAGCCGCCCGAAAGGACGGGUAAUACCGGAUACCCCGGGGUGCCGCAUGGCACCCCGGCUAAAGCCCCGACGGGAGGGGAUGGCUCCGCGGCCCAUCAGGUAGACGGCGGGGUGACGGCCCACCGUGCCGACAACGGGUAGCCGGGUUGAG